rnacentral:rRNA from 1 species
GCAGGUCGACGAUUCACGUGUAGCAGUGAAAUGCGUAGAGAUCGGGAGGAAUACCAGUGGCGAAGGCGGCCUUCUGGACUGACACUGACACUGAGGUGCGAAAGCGUGGGUAGCAAACAGGAUUAGAUACCCUGGUAGUCCACGCCGUAAACGAUGUCGACCAGCCGUUGGGUGCCUAGCGCACUUUGUGGCGAAGUUAACGCGAUAAGUCAACCGCCUGGGGAGUACGGCCGCAAGGUUAAAACUCAAAUGAAUUGACGGGGGCCCGCACAAGCGGUGGAGCAUGUGGUUUAAUUCAAUGCAACGCGAAGAACCUUACCUACUCUUGACGUCCUGCGAACUGGUGAAAGAUCACUGGGUGCCUUCGGGAACGUAGAGACAGGUGCUGCAUGGCUGUCGUCAGCU